rnacentral:miRNA from 10 species
GCAGGAACUUGUGAGUCUCCU